rnacentral:rRNA from 1 species
UACGGAGGGUGCAAGCGUUAAUCGGAAUAACUGGGCGUAAAGGGCACGCAGGCGGGCUUUUAAGUGGGAUGUGAAAUCCCCGGGCUUAACCUGGGAAUAGCAUUUCAGACUGGCAGUCUAGAGUACUUUAGGGGGGGGUAGAAUUCCAGGUGUAGCGGUGAAAUGCGUAGAGAUCUGGAGGAAUACCGGUGGCGAAGGCGGCCCCCUGGACAAGGACUGACGCUCAUGUGCGAAAGCGUGGGGAGCAAACAGG